ensembl:lncRNA
GCCUGCAGUCGAGGUGGAGAGUGUUGGUCUCCGUCUGGCUUGAUGUUGACGCUUCAACAGCGUUCUUUUUGAUGAGGAUGACACACACAACAGUUUGUCUCCAGCACAGUCAAGGUAAGUUUUCCUUUGUGCUUUUUGUUAUGCAUAUGAAGCGUCUUCCUGCGCUGUGAUGAUGUUUUUUCCUGCCAUUCGUAGUUUCCACCAGAGGUUUAAACACCAAAGACGGUUCAAAUCUUCCUUGGAUGUCUGAGCGUUACUAGCUGUUCCUAAUUAGCAGCUACUGCUAACAUGCUGGCUUUCUAAUGCAGCAAGUGUCUCCACAGGUUCCCAUCAGUCACAGAGAAUGAGCUUAACAGGGACAGCACUGUGCGGAAGGUGCUCUGCUGCAUCAGGAUGCAAGAUGGGGUGAAUUCCUCAAGAACUAAAAUCUGCAGUUUCCACCAGAGGUUUAAACACCAAAGAUGGUUCAAGUCUUCCUUGGAUGUCUGAGCGACUGAAGGGAUUUUUUUUUUUUUUUAUAUAUAUAUAUAUAUAUAUAUAUA